GUGAGGAUGGAAAGGCAGGCAGCACAGUCAUGUGGGCUCCACCAACUUGCUCACAGACCAGAGUUUUCCUCCACUUUUGCCUUUUCCCUUCCAGUGAGGUUAUCCACAGCAUCUGCUGUGUGAAGCCCCAAGAAGUCUGCACAAAGGACCAGCUGCCCUCUGGUGAGCUGCACCUACCAGAGCAACACCUGUGGUUCCAUCUCCUGUUCUUUCCUUACCCGGCCUGAUUCCAGGCCCUGUUGCCAAACUGGGAGAGUGGGAGACAGUGGACACAGGGUACAUAAGGAGCUGUCCACUGACAGACCAAAGGAUAUGGGAAAUCCAUGAGCUUCCAUUUGAUUAAUUGAAAGAGGUGAGUAGCUGAGCCCUCUACAGCUCUGCUGAGAGCUGAGUUGGAUACAUAGUUCCUGAUGGUGUCUUCUAAAAUCUAACCUUCAAACAUGCCAAACCAUGACUUAGUUUGACAAAUAAGCAUUUUCUCUUAGUAAAGAGAACAAUCCAUGAGUCUGUUAAAA